rnacentral:rRNA from 1 species
UACGUAGGGGGCUAGCGUUGUCCGGAUUUAUUGGGCGUAAAGAGCUCGUAGGUGGCGUGUCGCGUCUGCCGUGAAAGCCCAUGGCUUAACUGUGGGUCUGCGGUGGAUACGGGCAGGCUGGAGGCUGGUAGGGGCAAGCGGAAUUCGUGGUGUAGCGGUGAAAUGCGCAGAUAUCAGGAGGAACACCGGUGGCGAAGGCGGCUUGCUGGGCCAGUUCUGACGCUGAGGAGCGAAAGCGUGGGGAGCGAACAGG